rnacentral:rRNA from 1 species
UACGUAGGGGGCAAGCGUUGUCCGGAUUUAUUGGGCGUAAAGCGCUCGCAGGUGGUUCGUCGCGUCGUGCGUGAAAGACCCCGGCUCAACUGGGGAGGGUCGUGCGAUACGGGCGAACUGGAGGCCAGUAGGGGGAUGCGGAAUUCCGGGUGUAGUGGUGGAAUGCGUAGAUAUCUGGAGGAACACCGGUGGCGAAGGCGGCAUUCUGGACCGAUAUUGACGCUGAGGAGCGAAAGCCAGGGGAGCAAACGGG